CAGCAGCCACGGGAAUACGUAGGGUGCAAGCGUUAAUCGGAAUUACUGGGCGUAAAGCGUGCGCAGGCGGUUUGUUAAGACAGAUGUGAAAUCCCCGGGCUCAACCUGGGAACUGCAUUUGUGACUGGCAAGCUAGAGUCUGGCAGAGGGGGGUGGAAUUCCGCGUGUAGCAGUGAAAUGCGUAGAUAUGCGGAGGAACACCGAUGGCGAAGGCAGCCCCCUGGGCCAACACUGACGCUCAUGCACGAAAGCGUGGGGAGCAAACAGGAUUAGAGACCCCCGUAGUCCCUGUCUCUUAUAA
rnacentral:rRNA from 1 species